AGGGUUCGAUCCUGGCUCAGGAUGAACGCUGGCGGCGUGCCUAACACAUGCAAGUCGAGCGAGAAGUCUGCAAAAGAAACUUCGGUGGACAUUGGAGAUGGAAAGCGGCGGACGGGUGAGUAACGCGUAGGCAACCUGCCCUUUGCAGAGGGAUAGCCUCGGGAAACCGGGAUUAAAACCACAUAAAGCCGGGAGACCGCAUGGGAUACCGGUCAAAGAUUUAUCGGCAGAGGAUGGGCCUGCGUCUGAUUAGUUAGUUGGUGAGGUAACGGCUCACCAAGGCAAUGAUCAGUAGCCGACCUGAGAGGGUGAACGGCCACAUUGGAACUGAGACACGGUCCAA
rnacentral:rRNA from 1 species